rnacentral:rRNA from 1 species
GAUGAACGCUGGCGGCGUGCUUAACACAUGCAAGUCGAACGAACCUUCGGGUUAGUGGCGGACGGGUGAGUAACGCGUGAGAAUCUGCCCUCAGGAGGGGGACAACAGUUGGAAACGACUGCUAAUACCCCAUAUGCCGCGAGGUGAAAUGAAUUUCGCCUGAGGAUGAGCUCGCGUCUGAUUAGCUAGUUGGUGUAGGUAAUGGCUCACCAAGGCAUCGAUCAGUAGCUGGUCUGAGAGGAUGAUCAGCCACACUGGGACUGAGACACGGCCCAGACUCCUACGGGAGGCAGCAGUGGGGAAUUUUCCGCAAUGGGCGAAAGCCUGACGGAGCAACGCCGCGUGAGGGAUGAAGGCCUCUGGGCUGUAAACCUCUUUUAUCAAGGAAGAAGAUCUGACGGUACUUGAUGAAUAAGCCACGGCUAAUUCCGUG